GAUGAACGCUAGCUACAGGCUUAACACAUGCAAGUCGAGGGGCAGCAUGGUCUUAGCUUGCUAAGGCCGAUGGCGACCGGCGCACGGGUGAGUAACGCGUAUCCAACCUGCCUUACACUCUUGGACAGCCUUCUGAAAGGGAGAUUAAUACAAGAUGUUAUCAUGAGUAAGCAUUUUCGCAUGAUUAAAGGUUUACCGGUGUAAGAUGGGGAUGCGUUCCAUUAGAUAGUAGGCGGGGUAACGGCCCACCUAGUCUUCGAUGGAUAGGGGUUCUGAGAGGAAGGUCCCCCACAUUGGAACUGAGACACGGUCCAUACUCCUACGGGAGGCAGCAGUGAGGAAUAUUGGUCAAUGGACGAGAGUCUGAACCAGCCAAGUAGCGUGAAGGAUGAAGGUUCUAUGGAUUGUAAACUUCUUUUAUACGGGAAUAAACGAAUCCACGUGUGGAUUUUUGCAUGUACCGUAUGAAUAAGGAUCGGCUAACUCCGUGCCAGCAGCCGCGGUAAUACGGAGGAUCCGAGCGUUAUCCGGAUUUAUUGGGUUUAAAGGGAGCGUAGAUGGGUUGUUAAGUCAGUUGUGAAAGUUUGCGGCUCAACCGUAAAAUUGCAAUUGAUACUGGCAGUCUUGAGUACAGUUGAGGUAGGCGGAAUUCGUGGUGUAGCGGUGAAAUGCUUAGAUAUCACGAAGAACUCCGAUUGCGAAGGCAGCUUACUAACCUGUAACUGACAUUGAUGCUCGAAAGUGUGGGUAUCAAACAGGAUUAGAUACCCUGGUAGUCCACACGGUAAACGAUGAAUACUCGCUGUAGGCGAUAUACAGUCUGCGGCCAAGCGAAAGCAUUAAGUAUUCCACCUGGGGAGUACGCCGGCAACGGUGAAACUCAAAGGAAUUGACGGGGGCCCGCACAAGCGGAGGAACAUGUGGUUUAAUUCGAUGAUACGCGAGGAACCUUACCCGGGCUUAAAUUGCAACCGAAUAUGGCGGAAACGCUAUAGCUAGCAAUAGCGGUUGUGAAGGUGCUGCAUGGUUGUCGUCAGCUCGUGCCGUGAGGUGUCGGCUUAAGUGCCAUAACGAGCGCAACCCUUGCCGAUAGUUACUAACAGGUCAUGCUGAGGACUCUGUCGGGACUGCCAUCGUAAGAUGUGAGGAAGGUGGGGAUGACGUCAAAUCAGCACGGCCCUUACGUCCGGGGCUACACACGUGUUACAAUGGGGGGUACAGAGGGCUGCUACCACGCAAGUGGAUGCCAAUCCCAAAAACCUCUCUCAGUUCGGAUUGAAGUCUGCAACCCGACUUCAUGAAGCUGGAUUCGCUAGUAAUCGCGCAUCAGCCACGGCGCGGUGAAUACGUUCCCGGGCCUUGUACACACCGCCCGUCAAGCCAUGGGAGCCGGGGGUACCUGAAGUGCGUAACCGCAAGGAGCGCCCUAGGGUAAAACUGGUGACUGGGGCUA
rnacentral:rRNA from 1 species